CCUACGGGAGACAGCAGUGAGGAAUAUUGGUCAAUGGGCGCUAGCCUGAACCAGCCAAGUAGCGUGAAGGAUGACUGCCCUAUGGGUUGUAAACUUCUUUUAUAUGGGAAUAAAGUGCAGUAUGUAUACUGCUUUGCAUGUACCUUAUGAAUAAGGAUCGGCUAACUCCGUGCCAGCAGCCGCGGUAAUACGGAGGAUCCGAGCGUUAUCCGGAUUUAUUGGGUUUAAAGGGAGCGUAGGCGGGUUGUUAAGUCAGUUGUGAAAGUUUGCGGCUCAACCGUAAAAUUGCAGUUGAUACUGGCAGCCUUGAGUACAGUAGAGGUAGGCGGAAUUCGUGGUGUAGCGGUGAAAUGCUUAGAUAUCACGAAGAACUCCGAUUGCGAAGGCAGCCUGCUGGACUGUAACUGACGCUGAUGCUCGAAAGUGUGGGUAUCAAACAGGAUUAGAUACCCUAGUAGUC
rnacentral:rRNA from 1 species